UACGUAGGGUGCAAGCGUUUAAUCGGAAUUACUGGGCGUAAAGCGUGCGCAGGCGGCUAUGCAAGACAGAUGUGAAAUCCCCGGGCUCAACCUGGGAACUGCAUUUGUGACUGCAUGGCUAGAGUACGGUAGAGGGGGAUGGAAUUCCGCGUGUAGCAGUGAAAUGCGUAGAUAUGCGGAGGAACACCGAUGGCGAAGGCAAUCCCCUGGACCUGUACUGACGCUCAUGCACGAAAGCGUGGGGAGCAAACGA
rnacentral:rRNA from 1 species